GGUGAUGUAGCUCAGCUGGUUAGAGCGAUCGACUCAUAAUCGAUAGGUCGUGUGUUCAAGUCACACCAUCACCA
rnacentral:tRNA from 1 species